AGUGUUGCUUGAGAGUGCAUCAAGUACCUAAUUGUAGAGGGUAGAAUGGAAAUUAUAAUAAAAAAAUCUUAAUUUUAAUAGAAUAAUAAAUAAACUCUAAUUAAACCUUAAAAAUGCUAAAUAAGCUUUAAUAAAAUUUAAAAAGAACCUUAAAGAAAUUACAAAAGAAACAAUAAGAAAUCUCAAAGGAGUUGAAAGAUAAAUCUAAAAAGAAUCCUCAAGAAGUCCUAAAAAAAUAUUAAAAUAAUUAAAAUAUAUCUUAAAUAAUCUCAACUAAGUUCUAAUUUAAUCCUAAUUAAAAUUCUAAUAGACUUCAAUGAAAUCUUUAACAAAUCUUACAUCCUAAUUCAAACCUUCAAUAAAUCUUAAUUAAAUCCUAAAUCCUAAAUAAAAUCCUAAUCAAAUCCUAAAUCCUACAUCAAAUCCUAUCUAAAUCCUAACUAAACCUAAAUCCUAAACCAAAUUCUAACCAAAUCUUAAAUCCUAAAUCAAAUCUUAAUCAAAUCCUAAUCAAAUCCUAAACCAAAUCUUAAUCAAAUUCUAAUCAAAUUCUAAACUCUAAAUCAAAUCCUAAUAAAAUCUUAAAUCCUAAAUUAAAUCCUAAUUAAAUCCUAA
rnacentral:lncRNA from 1 species